CAGCAAGAAAUGAAAGCCGUGAAUUCUACAGGUAUCUCAGAGUCUGGAAUUCUUUAGAAGGGGUUCACAUGAGACACCGAGGGACUGGUGGCUGCGAUCCUCAACGGUGUCAUUUUUAUACAGGGUUGGUGGUAAUAAUUUUUUUUCCUGGUGCUGAAGAUCAAACCUCCUAGAGCCAAAGAAAAACCUCGAGUGGAGACGAUGAGGUGGACAGGCACCAAGAUCACUGUGCAUGUGACUUUGCUGCACCGUCAGCGGACAAGAUCCAGUAUCUGAGCAGGGAGAGGAUGCGGACUCACUGCAGUUCCUCGGAAAACCCUCUCCUGUGCACAGUCUAAUGAGGCUAGCUCCGAAGCGACAUUUGAGAGGACAGUGAGCAGAGAAGGGUCAUGACCCCAGAUGGCCUCACGGCAGCCCCGACCAGAAACCUGAGGUGACUCCAGGCCACCAUGUUCCACGUUACUCGACACACACCUCCAACUCCUGCGUACCCCCAUCCAUGGCAGAGGGGCUGAAAGACUGAUAGCCUAUAUUAUUUACCAGAUUAUAAGAAACCACAGCUUCAAUUUAUUGUGUAUGAUCUGUAAUGCCAAAAACUGUUGUUUAUCCAGUAUAUCUGAUACAAAAUUUAAAUUGUUUUUUUGUUUGUUUGUUUGUUUGUUUUGGUACCGG
rnacentral:lncRNA from 1 species